rnacentral:lncRNA from 1 species
ACAGAGUUUCAAAUCUGAGGGGGAUAAAGGAGAGGGGUAAAGGGUGAUAGGGAGACAUUAAUUAAUAACACAUAUGGUUAAUAACUACAUACAAAGGGGGUCAUGGGGUUGGGAAUCCAUUGCAAGGAGCCCAUGCACUUAGUCCUCGAUUAGAUUUGGGCAUGCACAGCAAUAGAAAGUGCAAACAUGCUUAUAAACCAACCAGAAUACAUAACAUCUAGAGGAAAAAUGGAGGUUA